GUUUCAAAAAAAAAAAAAAAACUCCGGAGAGUGCGUGACAACAGCAGCGCCAGGAGGGCGACGACGGCCGCAAGCCGGCGACCUCUACAAGUCUCUCCAGAGCAUGGCGUUUGCAUUGCCAUUGGGCGCAGGAUUUGUUGCAGGAUUCGCUGCUGGUGCUUUGUUGAGUCUCGGAGAGCCUGCCUUGCUGCGUCUACCAAGGACGCCCCUAGCACGAACAUGGUGGACUCCCCUAGGAAGGACCUUUACAGGUUCCUUUUUUGCACCCGGAGGAGAAGGCACGUCGUCCAAGACCUCUUCCCAGUUGAAGAGCGAGUUGGAUGAGUGUGUGGCGACAAGGGGUGAACUCCAAAGGCAACUAGAUGAGUGUAGGAAGGAACACCGAGAACUCGAAUCCGAAGUCGAAGUGAGGGUGAAAAUCAUUUUGGAACUCGAAUUGAAGAUUAAACUCCUAUUGGAAGUCGAAAUAAAGAUUAGGUUGGAAUUGGAGGAGUGUAGGGAGACAAACGAUGAACUCCAAAAGCAAUUAGAGGAGUGUAGGGAGGAGAAGGUUAAACUCGAAUUGGAAUUAGAGGCAAAUGAGGUGGAAGUGGGUGAGCUCCAAAGGCAAUUGGAAGACUGUGGUGUGUUGGCAGAUCAGGCAAAUGACGCAGCUACAAAGGCACAUGAUGCUGAGAAGGCAAAAACUAUGAAGGAUGCUUAAGCUGGUAAGCUAAUAAGAGUUGAGUUGGAGGAGCUCAGUGUUUCAAUGUCAUAGCUACCAGCAUCCUAUGAACAACUUUACGCCAAGCAUUCUUGCCUGAAUGAUGAGAAGAAUUCAAUACAAGGAGCUUUAUACUGAGAAGCUUUUAGCAUGCAAUAUUGAUGUAAAAAAAAUGUGGCACUUGAUGCUAAAAUUAUGGUGAGAUUGAGAAAUGAAGGUGA